UGUAACUAUUUAGUUAUGGCAAAUGGUGCCUAAUCUGUCCUGAGUGGCAUUGCUGCGUGACUGACAUGGAGGCGCAGCCAAUGAGCGCGAGCAGAGUGCUCCGCCUCGACCAAUCGGGUUGUGCGCGUGGAGUCAGUGGAAGAAAUUCGCCGGAAACCAGUGGCAGUGAGUCCAACCUGACCACGAACACCCCAGGCCACGUGGGCUGCAGAUAUUUAGUCUGUACAUCCAACUCCUCUGUUGUGGAGAAAUGUCGCCUGGAAAGUUAGGACAUUUAAAUCAUACGUUUGCCAAGAAAAGCAGAUGGAGUGACAAAAAAUACUAACGCUGGAUCUUGUUUCUAAUAUUCUUCUCAUCAUUAUGUGGAUUCGCUAUUGUUUUCUGUUAUAUUCAUAUGCCGCAUGCUAUUAAUAAGUGGUACAAUGUGGCCACAGUUAUAGGAAGUGAGAACGUGCGGGAGUUUGUGGUCCUAUUUUCGCUGUUCGCGGCGGAAGAACACUAUGUUUUCAGUGAGGAGUAACGGGAGCGUCACUGUGACAGACAGGCGCAUGUGACAUCUUGACAAUAGCAACACUUGGACAAAAGUGACUGCUGCUGGAGAACUGGAGUUUUCAGAAAGCUCCAGCCGACAUUUCCUUUAAACUGAUUUCAUUUUCCUACCCUGAACGGGAUGUGCGUUAUUAGUCUGCGUCACAUUACGUCAGCGUGACAAUGGGAUUUAAAGUAAUAAGGCUUAAUCAUGAGAUGGAAUAGCUUUAAACAGUAGAAUAUUAGUUAAAAGUUGUUUACAGUGCAGAUAAUUCAGAGAUUUAAGCAUCAAAAUAAAUAACAUACUGUUUUAUAAUAAUAAUAAAUAAAAAAUAAUAAGAAUAAGAAUAAAAAACACCAAUAAAAUCGUUUAAAAAAAAUAAAAGUACAAAAGGUUUUGGCAGAAUAAUAAAAAGAAAAAUAUUUACAGACGUUAUAUGCUGACAAAACACAAAAAGAACAAAAUGGAAUUAAAACAAGAUUAAGAAAGGGCCAUUAGAAAGAAAGCUGACAGAUUAAGCUGUAUUUAGAUUCUUUUGGAGAAUAUUUAAAUUGUGGAUAAUUUUGGAAACAACGGUUUGGGCAAGUUGCACAUAUGUAGAAUAAAACAUCUGCCUAUU